AGUAUGCAAUAUCUCCUAUAAAUAGAGGGCAUGCAAGUCUUAGAUCAUCAGCAAGUUUUGUGAGAUAAACAUACACGGAGAAUAUGGCAACCAAUAGUCGUAAGAGUGUGAUUAUGGGAGUAGUCAUACUAGUUCUAGUCAUACAGCAGGCCCAGCUAGAAGCCAAGAGCUGUUGUUGUUCCACCUCGGGAAGAAACUGCUAUAACGCAUUGCCAUGUCACGGGUGCCUCUCGCAAAACAUGUGCAAGCUUGUGCGGUUGCAAAAUUCUUGACAAGUGUGUGCGUCCUUGUGAUCGCUUCAAUCUUUACCCGGAAGCAGCUAAACUGUAAACAUAUUCUUUCCAUUCUUUCAUUUUCCUCUCAAGCACAAAGAAUUAUAUUUAAACACACGAGGUUUGUUUUCCCAGACGAAGCAAAAGUCAUUGAGUAUUGCAAGUUGGGAUGCAUGUCCUUUGUCUGCAACACCACAAACACUUUCAUUGUCGGUGAACAAGAGAAAGAUGUCAUAGAGAAUUGCACAACUGAAUGCGAUCGUGUCUGUACCAAGGAUGUUGAAUUUGCCGAAGCUAUUGCAUAAGUCUAUGCACCGGGAUUUCAUGCCGAGAUAGUCGAAAUGUUCUUGUUGUCUUGAAUAAUUGGACAUCAUGUCCCAUCCAGCACCAUGUAAUCUUAUUUUAGUUUCUUUGCAUCUAUCGAAAAGGUGUGAUAGCUCCCGGGGUUCCUUUCCUUUCCAUAUAUUUCCAGUAAGGGUUUCGAUGGUGUACCAUUUCCUUGCGAAAAUGUGCUCGUCAUUUUGUAAUAAUUGGAUACAGUAUCCAAUAAAAUGUGUCAACUUAUUGUGUUUUA